UUUUUUUUUUUUUUUAAAGAUUUUAUUUAUUUAUUCAUAAGAGAGAGGGGGGUGGGGCAGAGGGAGAAGCAGGCUCCAUGCAGGGAGCCCGACGUGGGACUUGAUCCCAGGUCUCCAGGAUCACACCCUGGGCUGAAGGCAGCCCUAAACCGCUGAGCCACCUGGGUUGCCCUAGUUGUUACCUUUGAGGGUAAUGGUUGGGAGGUGACCUCCUAGGGCUGUUUGAGUGCCAAUACUGUUCUAUUUCUAGAUCUAACUGGUGUUUGCAAGGUUGUAUUAAUUUCAUUCAUUGAUUUGUUCACAUGUCAUUUAUGAUUUUUCUGUAUGUAUUAUAUAUAUUAAACAUUUUCUGUAAUAUAUAAUUACAUGUAUAUAUUUUUUUAUUAUAUAAUUAUACAUUUUAUAUAUAUAAAAUGCUCUGAACUCAUUUUUAUUCCAAACCAUUCUUUUAGUAUCCUAGUUUCUAGUGCUCAGAAUAAUAAUCUUUUGAAAACUUUCAAUCCAACAGAAUUUGGAAAAGGUCCAAAAACACCCGGGACACUUGCUUUUAUUGAUUUUGUUGUGGCAACAACUAUACUUGUAAUCUGCACUAUUUGUGUUAAUUCCUUUAUUUUGUUCUCAGUACUGAAAGACCUAUCAGGUCACUCAGUGGGAAGCAGGGCUUCCAUUUUCUCAAUGGCAAAGUUCUCAAAUGGCAGGUUCAGAAAUUCCUUUGUGGGAGGAUAUAACUUAUCAUUAAGCAUCCCAUCAUGCAUCUUGCUGAACGGACCUGUGGGUGGCAUGAUUCCUUCUAACACCAACUCAGUUCCUAGAUUCUUUUCAAUAGAGGGUUCAGCAUCACCUGGAGGACACUGCCCAACAGAGGAUUUCUGCAUUUCAUUGCUGAGGUCAGAGCUUCAGUUCACGGACACAACACUGACAAACUUUGAUGCAUUUUGUUUUCACUUAUAAGGGAAAAUAGGAGGAAGGGAGAAUCAAAGGAGAGGAGAAAUGAAAUCCCAAUAUCCUACCCCCAGUACCAAAGGGGGUACUGUCUCUGUUUCUUGCUGUAUCAUCAUAAAACUCCGAGCUAAGCUUCAGCCUUGAAAAUGUGUGCUCUACAUAUUUCAAAGCAAUUUUACAGCUCCUUCUAAUUUUAUUAUUUCCAUUUUUUUUUCUCUCAGAAUACACCCUGAGUUUAUCAGUUUGGGUAAAAGAGAAUGUUUUCCCUUAUAGAAGGCAAACUGCAUGGAACAGUUCAACACCGGAAGAAGCUUUGAUUUUACUUUACUUCUAAGACAUCUGCAGUUCAACAUUCAUUAAAAUUUCCUUCAAAACCAGAAAGCAGACUUGUCUUAAUUAAUUUGAAUCAGUUACAGAAUGGCACGAGUUUCAUGUAUAUAUUUAUUCCCAACUACUUCCCUUCUUUACCUCCCCCCCGAAAACAGUUUUCCGGGCUGAGAUUUAAUCUGGAGAAAUAUCCAUAAAUCUAUUAGCCACAGGGGAAAUUUGUCAUCUUUCACAGGAUUUGCUACAGUGGAUCUAUGAAAGUCCGUUUAAGUAACUUCUCUCUGGGAGGUAAAUUAAUCAAGUAAGAAAAAGUGGAGAACUAGUUACAACUCCUCCACUUUUAAUCCAUUCCAAGAUCUAACAGCACAUCUUCCAUAAAAGUGCUUAAAAAAACCCACAACAUUUUAGAACGUUUAUGCCCCUGUAGCCAUCUGCUCCAACUUUCUUUGUAUCAUUUUAGUUUAUGAUCUCCAAAACACAUUUUACCAGUUUUCUGAGUGGGCUUGCUGAUACCCUUUGCUGUCAAUUUCAUCUAACUCCCAAGUCUUCCAUAUUUGUGAUUCACAAGGGCAACUGAUAUGCCCAUCAUUUGGAACUGCAUCAGCAGUUCAAUCCUUAGGCUUAACCUUCUGUUGAGAGUCUUUAUUACCAGCAACUCAAGAAUAUGGCUGAGGAGUGGGUAUGCUGGUUCAUCUGCAGCCGGUUACACUAAUGAGUUUCUAGGCAGUAUUUUAUCAAAGCAAUGUGUCAGAGCCUCUCUGUUAUUGCUUCUUGUUUUGAUGGGUUAGUGUUCGUUAUUAAAGGAGAACACACAUUUUUUUCCUCUCUUUGACAGGCAAGUUGAGGGCUUUCAGUAAUAGGUGCCAGAAAAGAAACAUCUGGUGUACGUUUAACGAUGCAUUGUUGCAUUGUUAACUUAAAGCUGUUACACGCCUUGAUAAACACAUAAUGGGCCUCAAGAAAUUAAGAGAAAAUUAAAAUGUAAAUGUUUACCCAGACCAUAUUUCCCUUUUCUUUCCAUCAAGCCAUCUCCACCUGCACCUUAUAUGUAAGUAAAAGAAAAGGUUAGUGUAAAAUUCUCUUCUAACCCUCUACGAGUCAUGUUGCCAGAAACUAAGAGAACCUUUUUGGCCCCUUCCAGCCAGGGGAUAUAGCUGAGGUCAAAAUGGCACCAUGGUGCUCUUACAGUUACUUAAAUGUUGUCUGUAUGUUCUGAAAAUGAGCUAGGCCAUUUAGAAAAUCUGCUUCGCCUUGGGACAAAGGGCCCAUAUGGGGUUAAGUAUCUGUAAAUAUGUCGGAAAUAUUUUUAUCAUAUCACCAGUUUUCAGCUCCCAAUUUUGCUCAUUUAUACAGGUGAUGGUUAAAA
rnacentral:lncRNA from 1 species